GGAAGAAUUUACAAUCAAGCUUCGAUCUACUGACGAUAUGGUCCAGAUGAAAGCUCGAAAUUAUAUAAAUCAUUUUAAAGGAGUUGAAUCUAUAGUAUUUAGUGACCGUGCCAACUUAGUAUUCGUGAAAGGAGAAGGAGUUGAUAAGGCUAAAUUGAUGAGGAAGGUUGACAAGAUUUGCCAACCCAAAAAAUCGUUCUUUUCGUGUUUUAGUCCCAAAUAGUAUAUGGUUUUAUUUAUGUCUUCAUAUUUGUAAGAGUAUUUGGAUUUUAACUAAUAAUUAUAUGCAUGCAUAUUUUCUUGAAGUGUUUGGAUUUUUAGUAGCGCGGGUAUAUUCAUAUUGAUUAUUUUCAAGUAGGUAUAUAGUACCAUACAAUUUGCCAAAAUACUAUAAUGUUUAAUUUUUGAUUA